rnacentral:rRNA from 1 species
GAUGAACGCUGGCUGCGUGCCUAAUACAUGCAAGUCCAGCGAACGGACGAGAAGCUUGCUUCUCUGAUGUUAGCGGCGGACGGGUGAGUAACACGUGGAUAACCUACCUAUAAGACUGGGAUAACUUCGGGAAACCGGAGCUAAUACCGGAUAAUAUUUUGAACCGCAUGGUUCAAAAGUGAAAGACGGUCUUGCUGUCACUUAUAGAUGGAUCCGCGCUGCAUUAGCUAGUUGGUAAGGUAACGGCUUACCAAGGCAACGAUGCAUAGCCGACCUGAGAGGGUGAUCGGCCACACUGGAACUGAGACACGGUCCAGACUCCUACGGGAGGCAGCAGUAGGGAAUCUUCCGCAAUGGGCGAAAGCCUGACGGAGCAACGCCGCGUGAGUGAUGAAGGUCUUCGGAUCGUAAAACUCUGUUAUUAGGGAAGAACAUAUGUGUAAGUAACUGUGCACAUCUUGACGGUACCUAAUCAGAAAGCCACGGCUAACUACGUG